rnacentral:rRNA from 1 species
GACGAACGCUGGCGGCGUGCCUAAUACAUGCAAGUAGAACGCACAGGAUGCACCGUAGUUUACUACACCGUAUUCUGUGAGUUGCGAACGGGUGAGUAACGCGUAGGUAACCUGCCUGGUAGCGGGGGAUAACUAUUGGAAACGAUAGCUAAUACCGCAUAAGAACAUUUACUGCAUGGUAGAUGUUUAAAAGGUGCAAAUGCAUCACUACCAGAUGGACCUGCGUUGUAUUAGCUAGUAGGUGAGGUAACGGCUCACCUAGGCGACGAUACAUAGCCGACCUGAGAGGGUGAUCGGCCACACUGGGACUGAGACACGGCCCAGACUCCUACGGGAGGCAGCAGUAGGGAAUCUUCGGCAAUGGGGGGAACCCUGACCGAGCAACGCCGCGUGAGUGAAGAAAGGGUUUUCGGAUCGUAAAAGCUCUGUUGUUAAAGGA